AACUAACAAAUUCAAAGCCGACAAGAAUCCAGCUCUACAAAUCCUCCUGAAGAAAGCUACCAAAGGAAGGCCCAUGAAAUACCUACUGAUGCUGAAGAGUUAAACUUCUUAUAUGUUGAACUUCAGACAUCAACAGGAAUCCAGAAUUUACAUAACCAUACUCUUGAUAAAACUUCUAACCUUUUUAUUUGCAGCUCAAAAUUGAUGCUGAAGUCUGAAUUCUCAAAAUGCUGAACAGAAAACCGGAUACCUGUAGAGAACUGUGAAAGAAACAAGAUCAAGGGAAAAAAAUACCAUCCUGCCUGUGAACAUCUCCAGAUGGAAAACUUGUACAGAGGAAAGAUCAAGUGGAAGACAGCAGCAGGCUCCUGAGAGCACAGCGGUGGGCCCUUCUCCACACAGAGUCUUUGCUGUACAUUGCCAAGACAGAAGGACUAACAGCUGUCUGGUACCUCUGCUUUGCCUCCAUUCAUGCAUGCCUUUGUCCUGCUCUCCAGGUCUUCCCUCUGUUGUCUCUGUAACUGUGGCAGGAGCUGCAUGCUUUAGGUGCUGCAGGACUGAUGGAUCACCUUUUUUCUUUUAGAGGUUGAAGUAGCAGAAUCACGAUGUUUUGAUUUGGUUUGGGUUUUUACACUGCAGCUUCUAGCAGCCGUAGUUCCACUAAGAAGAAUAACACUUCAAAGUUAUCCUUGCAGUUGAACUUACCACAAAUUGCAGCUUGUGGCCACAGAAGGCAGAGUGUAAAACACACAACUCCCCAAACUGAAGGGUGUAAGGGCUUCCAUCCGUGCUCCCCUGUGUUUACAUAGACCUCUAGUCUACAGAUCCACUUCUUCCUCCUGCUGAUAAUUUCCAUUCGCUUUGCAAAACAGUCAUGGAGCAACAAGCUAAUUCAAGGGCAAAUGGAAUUACAGGACUACAUGUAGAAGGAAUAUAUAUCAGCAUAUGGUGGGGUCUCUGCAGUCCUCUUGUCAGUCACGGCUACAGCCCCGGUAUGCAAGUGGCAGAGGAGGAGGGGGAGAUGCCAUCUGUCCUCCACAUUAAAUUAAGACAAUUGUACUGCAAUGUUUAAAUUAAUCCUUCUAAUUGCCUCAUUUCAACUGCAUAUGUUUUGAAUCUGUUCAUUUUUGAAAUGUGAAUUUUGCAUUGAGGCUGACAGCAAAGUACACAGUCUGUAAUCUUGUACAACUUCCCCUCCCUCUUGCCUCCCUUACUGCCUGAUGGUGAAAUUUCCUGCCAGAUAACUUGCACAAAUGCUUUCCUUUCAAAAAAAGAUGGUUACAUAUAACCCUAUUCUCCAUGGGGAGAAGUAGCCUUUCUGAGAAAGUCAUAAAAAGGCACCAGGAGUGAGAACUUCUGUUCUUGAUCUCUGCCAAUAUCUGACUGGAUUACAGAGGAAAAAAGAACUUGACCUGCUUCCUUGGCAUAUGCGGGGCAGCACUGUAAGCAACAGGACACAGCACAAGGUACAGACUUCUGUUUUGGACCAACAUUCAACAUCACUGAAGAGGAGGAGGGAUUUUCCUCUGUGGGUGUCAUUUCAUAUUUUUAAGAAAUUUCUUUUAUUUUUUUGCAAGCAUUAUUUUGUGUAAAAUCUUCUAUCAUUUUUCCCUCUUUUCUCACUUGCAGCAGUGGAUCACUGAAAAUUAAUCCAUCUGCUAAACGAGACUUCCUUCAAUUGUCCUAUAUGGGAAGCAAUAUUGUUAUCAUUGGAAAAAAUGGCAAAUUCAAAUCUUUGAAUUCUUAUAAUUUUAACAUCAUGGUUAGAGCUAAUCUCUCUUUUGGGAAGCAAAAUCUACAACACGAAAAUAGAGUGCACAUUAAAUUUAGCAGGAGAUGAGCAGCUGACUUGGAAAACAGACAUAAGAUAUUUUUAUGACAAUUUUUAUUGAGAUUAUUUCAACAACCAUUUGAUGUUCCAUUCAACUUUAAGAAUACAUUAUGAUCUUUUUAAUCCCUGAGAUAAAAAGUGUCAAAUAUUGACUUCAGCUUUUGUCUUACCAUUUUUACUGAUCAGUCUGCAUAAAUCUGUUUCUAUUUCUGGCAGAAAAAAUAUUUGAUGAACCAAAGAUUCAAUCUUCCUGACCUAACAGAGCAGGCAUGAACUGCAGUUUUGAUGAUCUAUUACACCUCUAGCAUACUAGGUUUAAUCCCUUAUUUAAUACUGAAACACAGUCCUACUGUAUGAGUCUAAUGAGCUGCAGAUGUUGCCUUUGCACGGUAGUACGACUCUGUCAAUGUCAAGUAGUCCUUGACACUGCAAUGAAUAAGAUGCUCACAUGCCCUGGCUCAAACCUCACUGAGGCCAAAGGAGCUGAAUUUGCUUGAGCACAUACCCUAGUGGUCACGGGGGCUCCUUAUUUUAGUAGAACAUUAGUUUUAUCAGAAUAGUUUAAACUUAUGUACAUUUUUCAUGUGAAGUUGGUUUCAUUAAUACCAUAAAACCAAUUUGCCAUAUUAAAACCAUCAUGAAAUACAUGACAUUUCUGUUACGACUGAUAAUCUUCAGCUUGUUAUGCUUAGCAGCACCCAGGAGCGUGCUGAGAGACAGACAGCUAGCUUUUCUUCAAGUAUCUUACAGUGCACAUUAAGGAUAAAGUCUCUGUGCUCUGGAAGAAUCAGGUUGGUACAUACCAAGAAAUAAGCAAGAUCUUCCAAGCAUCCGGGUCUUCUAACCUUAUUUUCAUUCAUUUCUAUUCAGUUCCAAAUUCUUCUACCAAACUUUUUAAUAAAGCCUACAAUUCACUUGCUGAGGUUGUUCUAGAGAUACUAGUAAGCUUUUCAGCCUGAUUCAUUUCACUACCAUAAAUUAAAUGGUUUGAGCAUCUUUCCUCUCUACCUCUGAGAUGAUAUCACAGACAUUUUGUUUGCACUCUGGGUCACACGAUGAUGUGAUUUUCUUUCUUGUUUCUUUUUAUUACCUUUCUUAGACAUGCAGAUAAUACUGCAAGGAUAAUUCCUUUUUGUGGGCAGUAAACGAUUUUAACAUCAUGGAAUUUCAAAUAGUCAGAGAUAUAGCAAAUCUGAUGACAAUGUUGAAGAAACGUUCUACAGCCCACCGCAGUAAUAUCCUAUGGGGUUCAUCACAAAAUUCUGACAUAAUACCCAUAAUAAGAAAUUAAUCUUAAUGUGUUGAAGAAUCCCAGGGUUCCAGGAUGCUGAAAAGUCAAUACAGUGAGUCAAUAGUUAAGAGUUUUAGGAAUGUUUGAUUUUGACCUAACCCUCCCUUCCCACUCUCUCACAACUUCCAGAGUCCCCUUUUGACUGAGUAUUUUCAGAAUAACUGAUCUGCUGCCAAAGUAGAAUUGUUUUGUGAAAUUGGAAGUGGAUCAGAGCAGCCUUUCAUGAUUUAUGCAAUUUGUAUGAAGGGUUAGUAUUUUGCCAUUGGAAGUACGUUUGCCAUCAUAAAUAUGUUUGGCUGAAAAAGCUCAAGUCCUUUCACCUUUACUAAGCUUCCAGGAGAGCUGGUUUCAAAGACAAAGUCGGGCUUUAAGCUUUCACCAACUACACUCAAACACUUCUGCCAUCUGGCUUCGUGAUGCUCUAUCUUCACAUGCCAGUUUUUGUUUUUUCUCAAUUUGGUGAAGGUCCUUUGUUAUAAAACAGAAUGUUCUUAAACAUCUGAAAAAAAAAAUGUUGUGAAUCCUGCUGUUUUAUUCUGCUACUUCUAAGCCUCUCUUUAUGAAGUACUUUGUUUAGGAAUAGUAAUAGUGCAUUUAUGGCCUUCCUAGCACUGAUUUUGAAGUAAAACAGAAUUAGUUACAGUGUAAGAAUUGAUAAGGGGACAGAUGAGAGCAGAACUGCUUCAGUGGCCACCACACAGUAUUCCUGAAGUCUUCAUACUGCCUGCAGUUUGGGUCGGGGAUGAUGUAGUAACAGGGCUUUGGAUUCACAGGGAGGCGCAGAGAAGCUGCAGUUUAACAUCUCCCCACUCAGACCAUUGCUUUUGUCUAAGACAGAAUACAAACCAAAAAAAGAUUAGCUCCUACACUGAUAAACAGUGGUAGUGCCUCUUGUGUUCUGACUCCCUUUCCUCUUCAAAACCCAUGGGUUUUUAAUUACUCUCUCAACAAUCAUCCACAAGAUUCUUGACCACUUUUGUCUGUAUCCUGCUCUGAACUGUUUGUCAUGAAGCAGGAAGAGGUGAUGACAAUCGUGGAACAGAUAGCACUUUUUUUUAUCUCGACACAUAUGUUUAAUCCUCUUCUGCUCUCCAUCUUCAGUCAUUACAUAAUUCUGAUUUUGUCUAAAAACAAUGCUACCAAGGUACCAUCUAAAAACGUGCAGUAUGAUUUAUGAGAUGUCUUAGGAAAAUGUUUAGAAUGACAUUUGUAAC